AUAUAAAUCACCUCGGGAUCUUGUUAAAAUGCAGGUUCUGAUUCAGCAGGUCCGGGGUGGAGCCAAAGCUCUGCCUUUCUAACCAGCUCCCAAGUGAUGCCGGU
rnacentral:pre_miRNA from 1 species